GGGCUCACACAAGCGGUGGAGCAUGUGGUUCAAUUCGAAGCAACGCGCAGAACCUUACCUGGGCUUGACAUGCUAGGAUUAUCCCUAUGAAAGUAGGGUAGGCCCUUCGGGGUACAACUAGUACAGGUGCUGCAUGGCUGUCGUCAGCUCGUGUCGUGAGAUGUCGGGUUAAGUCCCUUAACGAGCGAAACCUUUGCCCUUAGUUACUAACGGGUUAUGCCGAGGACUCUAAGGGGACUGCCGGUGUCAAACCGGAGGAAGGUGGAGAUGACGUCAAGUCCUCAUGGCCUUUAUGCCCAGGGCCACACACGUGCUACAAUGGCGUCCAUAAAGCGAACCGAGAGCGCGAGCUGGAGGAAAUCGCACAAAUGACGCCCCAGUUCAGAUCGGAGGCUGCAACUCGCCUCCGUGAAGUUGGAAUCGCUAGUAAUCGCGGAUCAGCCACGCCGCGGUGAAUGUGUUCCUGAGCCUU
rnacentral:rRNA from 1 species